rnacentral:lncRNA from 1 species
GCCAAGCUGUUCGACUGAACACGCCCUCCUCACCCUCCGCCACUCUGUUCGACUGAACACGCCCUCCUCACCCUCGCCCCACUCUGUUCGACUGAACACGCCCUCCUCACCAUCGCACUCCUGUUCGACUGAACACGCCCUCCUCACCCUCCGCCACUCUGUUCGACUGAACACGCCCUCCUCACAUCCCGCCCCUCCUGUUCGACGAACGCGCCAGCCCUCACCCAUCCGCCACUCUGUUCGACUGAACAACCCUCCUCACCAUCCGCCACUCUGUUCGACUGAACACACCCUCCUCACCAUCCGCCACUCUGUUCGACUGAACACGCCCUCCUCACCAUCCGCCACUCCUCCAACCCGACUGGGACCUCCACACAAACACAGACAGAAACUGUGGAAACAUAGGAGUGUGGAUUUAUUAGAAAAUUAAUGUAAAAGAUGAGUGUGGUAUUGUACUGUUGUUGUUUUCCAAGAGUUAUUAAGUAUUAAACACCCAACAAAGCACUCCCAACAGCACAGAGAGGACUAUAUAGCCUUGGCUCGGGCCUUACCUGAGAUACUUAACAGCCCUAACCAUGGAGCUGUUCUCUGUGUAACCCAUCUCUGCAACCUGGACUCAGGGGUAGAGGUAACAUAUAGGAAAUGUAAAAACGCGACACUCUAAUUCGUAUGGUAUGUAUUCAUUUGUGGAUGUCCAUCAUACAUUUCGUGUGAUAUGUUACAAAUUCCAAUUUGUUGUGGCUAUCGUUAGCUAGGUGGCGAACGUUAGCUAGGCUUGGGGUUAGUGUUAGGAGUUAGGUUAAAGGGUUAAGGUCAGGGUUAGGGGAAGGGUUAGCUAAUAUGCUGAGUAGUUGCAAAGUUGCUAAAAAGGGGUAAGUAGCUGCAAACAUGCUAAUUAGCUAACAUGCUAAAGUUGUCCGUGAUGAGAUUGAAACACACAACCUUUGGGUUGCUAGACGUUCACGUCAUACGCCACCCAUCCACUCUGAACAAUCACCCUACAGUAACCGUCUGUCUUAUCUAACCAUACCAAACUUAACAUAUCAUACCAAUUUGAGCAUCUCGGAUUUACAUUUACUAUGUUACAUCUAAUCUAUGAGACCAGGCUGAUCUUUGACACAUACAGCUAGCACUAGUUAAACCUGAUAGGACCCAGUUCUCUAUCCACCUCCCUUUUCUCCUCAGGGUGAUACAAGGCCAUGAGUCAAACAAGUUCCUGUCUCUGUUUAUUUUUGACCGUGCUAAGAGAUGAAUAUCAGCAGUUUUAUCCUCUGUGGAUCAAUGCAGAGGCAUGAGCAUGUCACCACAUUGUGGACAAUAAACUGUAUGAAAAGAA